rnacentral:lncRNA from 1 species
UGUGCGUGAGAAACAGAGAAAGUGAACUUCCUCUUCGGUGUGAGGUCUAGGGUGGGUUCUAGGAUUUCAACUUUAGGUUUUGUGUGAGAGAAAAACUAUAAGAGUGUCUUGUUCCUAUCUUCCACACCACCAUCUCCUCGAGUAACUCCAUCUUCUAAUCCAAAAGUGUCUGGAUGAUCCAAAGAAAGAAGCUUGAAUCAGCCAUCAAGAUCCUUUGAUGCGAACUAGCACUCCCGUAAAAGAUGAUCCGAUGAGGGCUUGGAGUGGAUGACCUGUAGAGGCCGAACGAUCUGUGUAGUUACUCGACAUUAGGAAGAAUCUCAUACCAUACCUAUCAACAGUGG